rnacentral:rRNA from 1 species
AAUGAACGCUGGCGGCAGGCCUAACACAUGCAAGUCGAACGAGUGGCGGACGGGUGAGUAAUGUCUGGGAAACUGCCUGAUGGAGGGGGAUAACUACUGGAAACGGUAGCUAAUACCGCAUACCAUCAGAUGUGCCCAGAUGGGGUUAGCUUGUGGGUGGGGUAACGGCUCACCAAGGCGACUAUCCCUAGCUGGGCUGAGAGGAUGACCAGCCACAAUGGAACUGAGACACGGUCCAGACGCCUACGGGAGGCAGCAGUCGGGAAUAUUGCACAAUGGUCGCAAGCCUGAUGCAGCCAUGCCGCGUGUAUGAAGAAGGCCUUGGGGUUGUAAAGUACUUUCAGCGGGGAGGCGUUACCCGCAGAAGAAGCACCGGCUAACUCCGUGCCAGCAGCCGCGGUAAUAC